CGAACUUCUACCACAUCUUUGGUCUGAUAAUACAGAAGUUCACCAUGAAAUUGAUGCAUUAGGAAACUGAGGACAUUGCCAAUCAAAUACGCUCAACCCCUGAGGACAUUGACAAUCAAAUAUGCUCAACCCCAGCUUCAUUUACAGCCCGUGGUUUCCUACAGGCAUGCCAUCCUUCUUUAUCUUUGAGCCCCUCAACAAGCUACUAUGUUAUCAACCUUCAAGUGCACCAAGUGCCUU
rnacentral:lncRNA from 1 species